rnacentral:sRNA from 1 species
GGAGAUCCAAAGGGAUUUGCGUUUGUGGAAUUUGAAACAAAAGAACAAGCAGCAAAAGCAAUUGAGAAGAAGCACCAAGAAAACCUGGCAUAUUUCCUAAAACAGUGAAAAAUAAGCCCAUUCCAGCCUUAAGAGUUGUGGGUGAGUAUUUUUCAAUAUUUAAAUAGAUGUAGUUGAAGUAAGAUGAACUAAUGAUGGCACUUUUACAGAAGAGAAGAAAAAGAAAAAGAAGAAGAAAGGCCGAACGAAAAAGGAAGACAAUAUCCAAGCCAAAGAAGAAAACAUGGACACAAGCAACACCAGCGUCAGUAAAAUGAAAAGAUCCAGACCCACAUCUGAGGGCUCUGAC